UCGGGGAUUUGGAGGAGAAGCCGCCGCCCGACUUGUCAAGACGCCGCCGCCUGACUCGUCCUCCUCAAGACGCCACGACCCGACGCCUCGACGCCGGCGUACUCCUCCGGUAUACCCCAGCGGUAAGUCAUCGUCUCCCCUCGCCUCACCUCCUACCUUUCCCCUCCUCAGCUAAUUUCUUCCAUCCGCCCGGCCAUGGCUACAGCCUCGUCCUCCCCGGCGAGCUCGCCAAGCACGCCGUCUCCGAGGGCUCCAAGGCCGUCACCAAGUUCUCCUCUUAGACUGCACUGCAUGUAUCUAGUUGCAAAUUUGGUUGUUCACUCUGGUUGUCGCCAAGUAGUAGUCGUGUUAGUGCUGGAUGGGAUUUGUGCUUAUUAGUAGUGCUGCUUUUGGCAAGCAGAGAUUUAGAAUGGUAAUGUUGCAGUAGUGGUACUUUCAUGAGUGAUGAUCUGAAUGUUGUUUGCUUUUCUGCUCUUAUGAACCGAACUGUGCCGUGUACUGGCCAUUUUUAUUAGUGUUAGGUUUCAGGCCUCUCAAACUUCUUGGAUUGGUUUCAAUAGUUGAGAAGACAGUGUCCAACAAUCCUUCUAUGGCGCUGCGGAACUCCUGUUACAUUUUCUUUCAAAAAGGAUCAAAACUGACAUAAUAUUUUCAUUUAGAAAGGAUCAAAGCUGACCCCCGUGCACCCUAUUUCAGUAUCCACAUGUCAUAUGUUUUCUAAUGUUUAUUCAGCAAAUAAAAAUUUAAACAAACUGAAUCUGUGUACUAAUUUAAUCUGGGCAGCAAGAUAUGUACAGAUCAUUUUAGAAACAAUUGAUGAAUUUUAGAAACUUCUGGUUUUGGCACCUUUUUGGAAUUUUAUCUAUGGAUAAUUAGGAAUAAGCAAUAGUUGUGUCUUUUGCAUAAGAACUUGAUUAAUUAAGAAUAGUCACCAGUUUUCACAUACAGACUGUUUUUGUGAUAUAUCAAUUGCAUUAUUCAAGCAUAGAUACUCUAUGAACAUCGAGCCUUGAACGUGCAUGGUAUGUGUAUAUUGGCUUUAAUAAGAUGGCCACUAUACCCUUAUUUAUUUACCCUUGGAAUAGAAUUUUAAAGAUGGUCCUCAAAAAAAGAUGCUUCAAGUUCCCUUAUCACCCAUCCUCUACCAUUAGUUGAGACCAGUUUGAAACAUUUUCAUUUCCAUUCCUUUCUAGCUGAUCUAUAAUAUAGUAAUGAUCUGGUGCAUCUCUUGGGAAACCAUGGUUCUGAACCUAGUUACUAAUUUGAUGCAUGGCCCAACUGUUAUGUGAUUGUAAUUGAUAUUAUCUAGGAAUAUUUGUCACCAUACGCUUUUCUUUUGGAAAAUUAGAGAGAUGUAAUCUUCCAACUGCUUAAUAUCAUGUGGCAAUUGGCUGGCUGCAUCCAAUUUCUUCACAGCUGCAGCAAUUGGCAAUUGGCUCGGUUGGUCCAUUUGAAUGUGGCAAUUGACUGGUGGCGGCGUUGUUAUGUCUAUUUGCUAGCUGUUGGCGUUGAGCUAGCAGAUUAUGUAUGGUUAACCCAUCCAUCCUGAUUGGAUCAGGUCCUGUUUUCUUGUUCAAAUGAUGUGAGGUGCAUGAAUGGUUUAAAUUUAAAGAUGUUAUGAGCUGCAUGGAUGGACUUUUGGGCACAGGGUCACAGGAACAUGCAGUAUACUUAAUACAUGCUAGUUUAGUAUUGUACUGAACUAGCUAGCUUCCUGAAUUUUCCAUAUAGUUUUCUUUCAUAUAGUUUUCCAGUCAAAUGUUUACUGUAGGUAUUUGAAGUUCUUGACCUGAUGCUAUUCUUGGACUCAACUAAUAUUUUUUCUUAUGACUUGAUGUUCUUUGGUCCGUCGUCGAAACAGUAGUUGUUGCUCGAUGCUCUGUUCACCAUAUACUUAAUAGCAUGGAAAAAAUGCAAUGUUGUAUCAUCCUCCUGUUUUACACGAUUUACAUGGAUGUGUCGUGGUUGACAAGGUUUAAUUCACGAUUUUUACACGUUUGCUUUUCUUAAUAUAUAUGGUUUAUUCACGAUUUCAUGGUUUUUUGUUUCAUCUAUUUUAGGUGCGCCGUGGUUGCUAAGUGAUGAAGGGAGGGCCUGUUUUGCUGUGUUCUGGUGGUUUAGAGGACAUUUUAUUUUUGUCAGUAGUGUGUUAUCAACGACAGUUAUCCUAUGUUUGAUUCAUCAUAAUUAUGUAAUACUCGCAUUCUGCUCUAAUUUCAAUUUGAUAGCCAGAUGCCUACCAACAAAAUGUUUUGUAGCAAGUUUUUCUUACUAUGGGGUUUGAUAACUUAUAAAGAUUGGAUUUUUAAUUGUUUUGCACCAUGUCAUCUCUAUAUUCCAAAC
rnacentral:lncRNA from 1 species